UUCUCUGAAUUUUGGGCUAUAUCAUGGAGCAAAAUAGGAAAAAUAUAUAGUCACUUUCUGAGAACUGAUAGAAAUCUGUUUGUGUAAAUGAAAGUUGAGAGUUUGAGAUUCUGSCAUUGUAAAAUGCAUUUUCUCUUUUCUAUUCUAGAAAUAAAUUCUAAAUAAACCAGCAAAUACUGUAGGUCAUAGAUAAAUGAGUGCAUAAAUAACAUAAAAUUAUACAGACUUUCCUCGACAGUUUUUUGACUGGAUUAGUUUGGAAAUGGGGCAGCUCUUGUUACUGAAGGAGCAGAUUAAUUCUUUUAUGAGAUUUAUAUAAGUGUCUAGAGUCAAACCACUAUUUUUGGAUUYUUGGCUGUCCCUAAAAAAUAAAACCAAAAUGUAACUUUGAUUCUUUUGCAGUGGGUGACCAAUAUUGUGACUUUCGAUUCAUUUAUUAGAUUCUCCCUUUACUAUUUGUGAAUUUUUUUCUGGCUUAAAGAAGUCUUUUCAAGAAAAAAUGUUACUUGUAAAUAUUUCUGGUGAAAUUAAUAGAUACUUUUGAAUACAGUUGGGUUAGUGUGUGUUUACUUGUGUUUGUAUAACAACACAAUUCCAGUGAGAUACUGAYAGUUUGUUCCUGGCAUGGUGCAGGUGAUGGGAGGAUGUGGUUAAAUCAGGUCAAUAAAUAUUAUUUUGAUGUUCUGCUCUUAGUCUGCUGGCAAUUCUAUUWAAUACUGAACUGAAAUGCAAAGUACUUGUCCUUUCAGAUCCCAGGCUCCUUCCCAAAAGAUACAAACAGGAAUGUAGAACUCCUGUGGAUUUUGAUAGCUCAGUGUGAUGCUCCCCAGGGGUGGCCCUGUAAAUCCAAGCUAAUGUGUAUUUUUGGGGAUUCAAACAGAGCUGCAGAACACCCUCAUGUCCUCCAUGGAUGAACUCUAAAGGUGUCCAUACGUGAACACUGAACUUUUCCAUUUCCUGUUGCAAGCACAAGUCCUGUGAGGAGCUGCUGGGUGAGAUGGGAAUGCUCAGCCUGGAGAAAAGGAGGCUCAGGGGAGACCUCAUCCCUCUUUACGGCUUCCUGGCAGGUGCUUGUGGUCAGGUGGGGGUCAGGCUCUGCUCCCAACAGGAUGAGAGGAACUGGCCYCAAAUUGUGCCUGGGSUGGUUUAGAUUGGCUGUUGGAGAAAAGCUGUUCACUAAAAGGGUUAUUAAGYAUUGGCACAGGCUGCCCAGGGUGGUGAAGGAAUCRCCAUUCCUGAAGGUGUUUAAAAAAUGUGCGGCUGUGGCACUURCGGACAUGGGUUAGUGGUGGAUUUGRUAGUCUGGCUUAUAGUUGGACUUGAUCUUAGAGGUCUUUUUUCAACCUAAACAGUUCUGUGAUUCUAUGAACAUUUGACAGCUGAUGUUCUGGAAGCAGGGAGGAUCCCUUUUGUGCUUUUAGGAUUCCCUUGUAGUGUAUGAUCAAGGACAGUGCUGUUGUGUGGAUCUAAAGCAGAGAUUGAACCUGUGUUUCCUUCCCGUGUUGUUUUGUAGUUCUGGACUUUGCUGUGGACYUUACACUUAUUAGAAUAUUGCAAAAUUUGAUUUACUCACAAGCACAAAAGGCUGAAGUCAGUCAUUUUAGUGACUGCUCACGGCAGUGUUUCUGUUCAUGAUCCAAAGURAAAUGAAUUUAUUCUUGCAGAAGUGGUGAUGCUGCUUUUCCCCAGAYCCUGAUUUCAGGCCUAUUUCACUUUGUCUUUAUGUACAUUCAUAAAAUGUGCUGAAAUCCCAGGAAGUUAUCACCAGCUGGAAGGGGUUUUGUGUGUCACUUAGGAUUUCCCUGAAUAUGAUAAUUUUAUUCCCUGUUGCUGAUGAAUUAGGAUCCAGGAGGAAAGGUAAGUGAAGUGGGGAAUGARCCACUAAACCAUGUCCUUUGAAAGCAGCCAGUUUUACUGGUGCACUUCCUCUGGUCCUGGGGAAUUCCUGCUGGGUUAUACCAGCUAUACACUGAGGAUUUAAAAAAAAAAUAACCAAGAAACAUAAAACCCAGCAAGAGCCCUGAGAGCUGUGUAUGAUACGUGUCCAUUCUUGUGAAGUGCUUUUAUUUUGGGAAAAGUGCUUAAAUGGGAGAGAGAAGAGAAUACAGUGCYUCAGUUUGCCUGAUCUGUUGAACACAAGUUCAGGUAUGUGGGCACUACAUAUAACUUUUUAUUCUUCAUUUGUUUUCAUGUCAAAAACAUCGGAAAUAAUCACACAAUCCUUGGAAAUUSUAAGAAGUUUUGUGGGAAAGUUCGUCAGUUGAUCUAGCAGUGCUGACCUCAUCUGGGUGGUUUUCUUCCCUGGCAUUUGCAGAUUCUAAGUGUCCAUGACCCCACAUCAGUAAGGUGUCCUACACCACUCAGGGAACUUUAGUACAAUGGAGAGAAAGUCACAUAAAUAAUGGGCUCUUGGGUAACCUUGUUAAUGGGUAACAGUGAGGUUUUUCAUGGUGUUUCUGGAAGGAGUGUAAGGUGAACAGCAGAACUUUGAACUCUGCAGCAACUCAGCCCUUUGCUCUCCAGAGGUGGUGCUUUAGGAAAGCCCCUCCUGCCUGGAAAGGUACUUUUGGCUUCAGCCACAUUCCCAGUCCCCUGGAGUAGGAGGACCUGUGCUGUCCCCAGUAGGACAGGAAAGCCCACUUAACUCAUCUUUGCCAAAAGCUUUGGUGUUUGAGCAGCCAAACCCAAUGGGCUCUGGAGGGCAUCUGGUCCUGCCCCUGGUGUGGGAUGCUGGACUUGCCUCUGUGGAUGUGUGCUGAGCUCUCUCUGCAGGGGACUAUCAGGCCUUA